rnacentral:rRNA from 1 species
GGGUUGUGAGGUUAAGCGACUAAGCGUACACGGUGGAUGCCCUGGCAGUCAGAGGCGAUGAAGGACGUGCUAAUCUGCGAAAAGCGUCGGUAAGGUGAUAUGAACCGUUAUARCCGGCGAUGUCCGAAUGGGGAAACCCAGUGCAAUUCGUUGCACUAUCGUUAAGUGAAUACAUAGCUUAACGAGGCGAACCGGGGGAACUGAAACAUCUAAGUACCCCGAGGAAAAGAAAUCAACCGAGAUUCCCCCAGUAGCGGCGAGCGAACGGGGAGCAGCCCAGAGUCUGAAUCAGCUUGUGUGUUAGUGGAACGGUCUGGAAAGUCCGACGGUACAGGGUGAUAGUCCCGUACACCAAAAUGCACAGGCUGUGAACUCGAUGAGUAGGGCGGGACACGUGGUAUCCUGUCUGAAUAUGGGGGGACCAUCCUCCAAGGCUAAAUACUCCUGACUGACCGAUAGUGAACCAGUACCGUGAGGGAAAGGCGAAAAGAACCCCGGCGAGGGGAGUGAAAAAGAACCUGAAACCGUGUACGUACAAGCAGUGGGAGCCUCUUUAUGGGGUGACUGCGUACCUUUUGUAUAAUGGGUCAGCGACUUAUAUUCUGUAGCAAGGUUAACCGAAUAGGGGAGCCGAAGGGAAACCGAGUCUUAACUGGGCGUUAAGUUGCAGGGUAUAGACCCGAAACCCGGUGAUCUAGCCAUGGGCAGNAGCUAAGGUCCCAAAGUCAUGGUUAAGUGGGAAACGAUGUGGGAAGGCCCAGACAGCCAGGAUGUUGGCUUAGAAGCAGCCAUCAUUUAAAGAAAGCGUAAUAGCUCACUGGUCGAGUCGGCCUGCGCGGAAGAUGUAACGGGGCUAAACCAUGCACCGAAGCUGCGGCAGCGACACUAUGUGUUGUUGGGUAGGGGAGCGUUCUGUAAGCCGUUGAAGGUGGCCUGUGAGGGUUGCUGGAGGUAUCAGAAGUGCGAAUGCUGACAUAAGUAACGAUAAUGCGGGUGAAAAACCCGCACGCCGGAAGACCAAGGGUUCCUGUCCAACGUUAAUCGGGGCAGGGUGAGUCGACCCCUAAGGCGAGGCCGAAAGGCGUAGUCGAUGGGAAACAGGUUAAUAUUCCUGUACUUGGUGUUACUGCGAAGGGGGGACGGAGAAGGCUAUGUUGGCCGGGCGACGGUUGUCCCGGUUUAAGCAUGUAGGCGGAGAUUCCAGGUAAAUCCGGAGUCUUGUUAACGCUGAGGUGUGAUGACGAGGCACUACGGUGCUGAAGUGACAAAUGCCCUGCUUCCAGGAAAAGCCUCUAAGCAUCAGGUAACACGAAAUCGUACCCCAAACCGACACAGGUGGUCAGGUAGAGAAUACCAAGGCGCUUGAGAGAACUCGGGUGAAGGAACUAGGCAAAAUGGUGCCGUAACUUCGGGAGAAGGCACGCUGACAGGUAGGUGAAGCGACUUGCUCGUGGAGCUGAAAUCAGUCGAAGAUACCAGCUGGCUGCAACUGUUUAUUAAAAACACAGCACUGUGCAAACACGAAAGUGGACGUAUACGGUGUGACGCCUGC